ACAGUGAUGAUGUCUACCGCUGCUCCCAAAGACAAUAUGUGGGUUUUCCUUGCAAAGAAGUCAGGCGGUAAUCUUUCCGGAACCCGUUGCUGGGACGUUGUUCAGGACACAACAAGUGGUAACUGAAACCCAUCUCCUGGAGACAACUCGCGUGGAAUCUCAUUGUUUACGUUCUUGGCGACAUGGACAAUGUUGAUGACUACCACAUUUGGCAGCGCCGUGUCCACCACGGGAUCAGGUACCAGAAAGACGCAGUUCCCUUUCCAGAGUCGGUUGAUAUCGGUUUGGAGUUCAACGCGGCGUUGGAACGGAAGGACAAGUUGGAUCACAGUCUGCUGACGAACAGCGUGAUGCUGGAGCUCGGGGAUUUCGCCAAAGCGGUGACCAAGUCCGAGAAGUACUUCCUCUUCGAAAUGCUCGCCUUCAACUUUGACCUCGGUGUGGACGUGGACGAUGACAUGCAGUACUAUCAAUAUGCAACGUGUGUUCACCAAAAAAUUAGGUCUCUGAAAGAACAAACCAGGGGGAAACCUGAAAGAUUGAAGGAAGCGUUUCCACUUCCAGAUCUAAGCGCUAUGACGGCGUCCUCGGGUUCAGCGGCGCCUGGACAGUACUACUUCAAAAGAAACAAAAUGGUGGAUAGUUCAGUCCUCACCGAUCCCCGCUGCCGGUCUUCACAAAAGCAGAUGACUGAGAGUGACGGGGCCGCACAAAGCCGUAGGUUCAUUUUAAAAAAGAAAGUCGGGUUACAACAAGCGGAUAACGUUUACCCUCGCUGCCGAGAGCUCGCUGUGACUCUGGCCAUUGGACCGAAUGAAGCACCCAAACAGAAACAAGCCCGGAAUCUGCUGAGCGUCGCCGUGGUGUUGGAGCUGCUGGAUUUUUCCCGAGUGCUUUGUGGAACGCACACUCAGCUCGUGUGCGACUUGGUUGAGCAAAACUUUGGUCUGGAGCUGGAUCCGGCCAUGUUCCGUUUGCAGUUCAAGAAGCUGACGGACAGAAAAUAUUGCGGCGUCACGGCCGAGCAGAGAGACGGCUUCCGAAAGAAGCCUUUUAAGUUCCAGGUCAAGAAGCAGGAACAGAAGUACGCGAGGAGACGGAACCGCGACGCAGAUUUCCAGGAACCGGAAGGACUGACGGUGGCUAGUAAGAGACGGACAACGCUGAGGCACAGGGACGGCGAUGUCCUGGACACUCACCUGUCGUACAUGUGUCCGAUUGAGUUUGAGACAGAAAUGGAUGAGGAGGUCGGACUAGAAAAGAUGAAGCUUGAAAGUCAUUGGUCAGGAACAGCCGUCGAUUCACUGGAUGUGAAGCGAGAGGCGGGAGAAGUUGUUGUCUCCCCAGCGCAACCGCGGACUAAGGGUUCGUUCAACUCUCAUCCGAGCGAUGGGGCGAUCUCGCGUCUGUUCUCGGAAGACGGCGACAACGUCAAGGUAAAAACGCUGAGGCAGAGGCUGUGGAUGAAGAGAGCCGCUCGCUCCAAACACAUCCUGAAGUCGUGGCGAGUGAACGACCUGUUCGCCCGCUGCAGAGCGAUCGGGUUGGACUUCAACGUCGGUUCGGGCAACAAGCAGAGCUUGGAUCUGCGACUGCUCACCAACCUUGUGCUGUGUGAGGUGUUGAGAUUUGCAACUGCCAUGAGAAAGAGGUUACAAGGUUUUUUAUUUCACAUUCUGGACGGCAACUUUAACCUCGUCCAAGACGAACAGCGUCGGCAGAACUUUGUAUACUACUUCAUGACCACGGGAAAGGUUCUUCAGAGCCACCCGGCGAGAAGGAGGUCGGAGUUCCUGUGCAGUCCCUUUCAUUUCCCAGAGAUCUACAACGUGACCAGCAGGUUCCCGGGGGCCUACAUGACUGACAGUAUCUAUAUAAGAAUGACACCGUCACGGAGUCCGUUGGUCACUUUGGUCCAGACUGAAAUAUCUCAACAAUUUUGGAUUGAAUUAUUCAUUCUUUCACUUUAUCUCGCUAAUUCAAGGUUAUUUGUCCGAGCAGGGUGUUCCAGAUGCUUGUCUCCCCAGCUAUUCUUUUCCAGCUCCUGCUGGGGAAUCCUGAGGCCUGUUGCCUGGUCAGAUGGGAUAUAUAAUCCCUUCAGCGAGUUCUGGGUCAACCCAGAAAACCUCAAAUGGAAUGGGCCCAGGAGGAUCUCCAUCAGAUGCCUGAGAAACCUCAACCUCAUCCUUCUGGCUCCCUCUGGAUGUCUGAACUCUUCAACCAAUCAUCUCCACUUACUCUACGGAGGUAAAGCAUCUCCGCCAUCUCGUCCUUUCGGUCUCUACCUGAAAGCUCUGGACCGCAGGUGAGGGCCAAAACUUGGUUCGACUUUUAAAAUCAAAGAUUGCUUAAAGAAUUUUGGUACAGACAAAAAGACGACGCCUGAUGUCUUUGGUGAUCCUCUUUGUGCACCAACGUGAGAUUCACAUUCGUGGUUUUGAAUGAAAUUUCCUUCCACGUUGACAAAUCUCCGGCUCUUCACUUGGUGCCGUCAUCGGGUCAUAACUGUGCUUUCUUCUGUCCUCGCGAUGGCUAACGUCGACUUUAAACGCACCUUAAAGGCUGGCCGUUCAGAUUCUGCCGAACAGACUGUAGCUCUUCAUUUUUGUCACGGUAACGGUGCAGGAGUUGUGUUUCAGCCGGAGUGAGACGCUUCAGGCGGCGAUCACUGAGAAACGCUGGGGCAUCAAUGUCAAAUGGAAAUGAAAGUCAGGGAUCAGCCCAGGGACACUGCUGUCACUCGCUGUGUGUGUGUGUGUGUGUGUGUCUGUGUCUGUGUCUGUGUGUGCGUGCGUGUGUGUGUACGUGUGCGUGUGUGUCUGUGUGUGUGUGUGUGUGUGUGUGUGUGUGCGUGCGUGUGCGUGUGUGUGUACGUGUACGUGUGCGUGUGUGUCUGUGUGUGUGUGUCUGUGUCUGUGUGUGUCUGUGUGUGCGUGUGCGUGUGUGUACGUGUGCGUGUGUGCGUGCGUGUGUGUGUGUGCGUGUGCGUGCGAGUGUACAUGUGCGUGUGUGUGUGUGUGUGUGUCUGUCUGUGUAUUUGUGUGUGUUAAUAAUCAGGGCUGCCCACUAAAUGUCAAUGAUUCCAAUAAUCGGUGCAGGAGCCCCUGAGUCGAAUCAGUCAUUCUGUGUUUGUUGAAAUAAUUAAAACACAUGAUCAUAACCUGAACAUGUGGCACAGUUAAACUGUGCAGGAGGCCCUCGUGUUUUCAUUAUAAUUAACACUUGAGAUCUUUAAAAGACAAACGCCUACUUCAAAUGGAGAUUUACAGUUUCGAGCAGCGGCAGAGCAAAUUUGAGAGGCAGGGCCGGAUGUUGAGGGGAGAAGGAAAAAAAAGAAAGUAGUGAAAGUCAAAAUAAAACACCACACUCCACAUUCUGCUGUAUCCAACUGUCUGCAGCAGCUCUGCACGGGCACACACACACACACAGACACACAGACACACACACACACACACACACACACACACACACACACACACACACACACACACACACACACACACACACACAGACACACACACACACACACACACACACACACACACACACACACACACACACACACACACACACACACACACACACACACACACACACACACACACACACACACACACACACACACACAGCUCUUGUAAUUACCGGUGAGUGUUGAGAGUUUGCUCCUGUAUGGCAGCUGACAGGGACAUUUGGACACCUUGUUACACACACACACACACAGACACACACACACUGCUUCAGGCUGAUGUAUGCUAAUCGAGGGCAUAAAAACUGCAUAAUGUGUAGCUUCUCCACGGAGGGAAAGAGAGAAGCCUCCGCUCGUUCAUAUCAAGAGUUUUCCACUCUCCCUCGUCUUCUCACACACCAGUGUUGAUUAAUCCAAGCGGACGGUGUUUAAUUGAUCACGUGCGCUGCUUUAUCUCUGCUCGUGGUUUUGUGUAGUUGCUUGUGUGUGUGUGUGUGUGUGUGGUUUGUUUUGUGUAUAGCUGCAGGGCGAUGAGCUCUCUUCAUCAUUCUGUUUCCGUGACCUCAGAUUCGGGUCGUGACAAAAUGUGUCGCACUCUGUAGUAAACAGGAGCGAUUCAGAACUCUGCCGUCCAUUAGCCGUGCAGUUUAACUGUACACUGUGUGUGUGUGUGUGUGUGUGUGUGUGAAGGACCACUCAUUGUCAACUUUGAUGCUUGUUCCCAUGGUUACGGGUCCGGCUGGUGUAGAGAAAUCCCAGUCUUUUUCUCCCAGCUCAACACUUUGUGAGACCUGCAGGCUGAGAGAGC
rnacentral:lncRNA from 1 species